rnacentral:rRNA from 1 species
UACAGAGGUCCCGAGCGUUGUUCGGAUUCACUGGGCGUAAAGGGUGCGUAGGUGGGUGGGGUAAGUCGGAUGUGAAAGCUCGGAGCUCAACUCCGAAAUGGCAUUGGAAACUACCCUGCUGGAGGUUUGGAGGGGGGACUGGAAUACUUGGUGUAGCAGUGAAAUGCGUAGAUAUCAAGUGGAACACCAGUGGCGAAGGCGAGUCCCUGGACAAAACCUGACACUGAGGCACGAAAGCUAGGGGAGCAAACAGG